AUCUUCAAUUUGUUCAUAGUAACCAAAUUGAACAUAUUGCCUUAUUCUGUUAUGUGUAUGUAUGUCCUCUUGGCUGCCAAACUCUGGAGAGCUCAAAACAAGUGUGCAAGCAAAACUGAAAGAGGUUAAUAUCACAAGAGAACCUGCCACUUAUAAAGGUCUUCUCUGUGUUGAUUCUCAGAGACAUGUUAAUGGUCAAUUUAAUAAAAAUAAUUUAGUAAUUUUUUGCCUGACACUUUAGAUUUAAUUUUUUAAUUAAAAUAACAUAUAAUAAACAGACAAAGAUUUUGUCAUUUUAGAUAAAGUUAGUAACUUUGGCUUUGGUUUUCCUUCUGGUUCCUCAGUGCUUUUUUGCAGUGUUUACCUAUCUGUGGUCUCAUGUCUUUCCCAUUAAUUCAUUGAAAUUGCUGUCAUCAUGUUUGUUAUUAAAUUCAAGUGACAUUUCUCAGUUCUUAACCUAUUUGACCUCUUAUUUAUCCAGCCAAAAAAUAUAUACCAAAUAGCUACUAAGUGCCAGGCACUGCAUUUAGAUGAUAGGAAUAAAUGCUGAAGUAGACAUAUAAAGUCCCUACAGUUGUGGCAUUUACAGUGGAAUAGGAGAGCUUAAUAUUAAACAGUUACAUAAACAAUUAUUCAAUUACAAUAUGAUUAAUGAUACAAAGAACAAAUAUAGCGUGCAAUAAGAGCAUAUAAAUGAAAAAUAUAAUUUAGUUGGAUAUGUCAGGGAAAUGUCCCUGAGAAAAAGACAGCUAACCUUAAUAUUAAAACUUAUUUACUCAAAAAUAAGUGUGCGAAACUGUAUAGUUAACUUAUCUUCAAUUCAGUCAAUCUAAAACAUCAACUAAAUAAUGUAUUCACAGAUAUACCACACAAUGACAGUUAGUGUUCGUAAUGAUAAUCUUGGAUGAGAAAAGAGCCUACAGGGUCUUUUAGAUCAUCACAGUUAAAUUAUACUUGGCUAAUAUAGUUUGAAUAUUUAGUACAAUUUCAUGUUCAAAACUUCUGAAACACUUUUAUUCACAUGUAGACCAUAUAAUACUUAUAUUAUAGUAGACCAUCCUAUUUCACAAUCAAAUUAUACAACAGUAUACUAAAUUAUCAUAUCAGUUUUUUGUUUCUUUAAUAGUUGCUAAUAUAUGUGUAUAGUUGUGAACAUACCUGUAUAUGUGUAUGUGAUAUGUAUAUAUAUCAACUGUAUAGUUAAAACACCACAUGUAUAGAAGAGACCAUCUGACUAGUAUUUAAGCUUAGCCAUGAGAAUGGAAUUUGGAAGAUGAAGAAUGUGACCUGGAGGAAAGAAGAAAAUGAUUACAGAGGGGCAUUUGAGAGUGAGAGGAUAGAGAAGAGAGAAAGAGGUUGAGGAAAGAAGAUAUCAGAGUCCCCUCACUGCCCUCCCCAUUAACACACUCAAGGCUAAGCUAGUGAGGGGAGAGUAUCUUUGGGAUACUGGACAAAAUAUGGAAUUCCAAGAACCAGGAAGCUUUUGUCUUAUUCUAAAAGGAUAUAACUUGCAGGCUGUCUCCAGAUCAAUUGAGUGGUAGAUCCAUAUUACAAAUAAACAUGAUAGCAGAGUGUGAUUAGGCAGAAGAAGGUGCAUCUCAGCACCUCCUUCUGUGUAAUGUGGAAAUGAGCAGCUAUUGUAGUGGGAAUGAGCAACUCCACAGUAAAGGCAUUAGGCUGUGCCAUCUGGGCAGUGGAUGACAGAGAUAUCAGUGUGUGGCUGGGGUCUGAAGCCUGUUCAGGGUCAAGAUGAGCCUAAGUCAUCCAGAAAGGCUGAUGAAAUCAGCAAAAGUCAGCCAGACAAAGGGCACUGUCAAGGCCAUCAUAUGGCUCUAAGCAUCCCUUUUCCCACCUCCUCAAGAGCACCAAGAAAGACACCAACAUCCAUUGCCAAUUUCCUUCUCCUUGCCAGUAGGGAGGCUGAAAAAAAACAGAUACUCUCUUUCUAUUAAUAUAUCUUCCUUAUAGAGUAGGAUGGAUAUUUGGCUAAGUAUUGAUCAAUAAGAUAAAGUGGAAUUUGCUGGGUGGUGGGCGGGGGUCCUUUGUGUAAUAAUUUUGUGUCUUGAUAAAGUAGGAAUAUGGCUGGGACCAUCCCUGACUCUCUUUUUUCCUUGAAUGUGAACACAUGAGUGAAGCAUACAUCCAUUGUCCAUGGGGCAAGAAACAUGAGGAUGAAAAGCCAAUAUGUUAAGGACAUGAAGUGAAAAGCGGGAAGAGCUUCUUAUUCAUGUUAUCACUGAGCAGCGGGAACUGGGGGCUCUGCUCAUUAUAGUUGCCCACGGCCUCCAGUCAAUGAAAUUUCCGGCCAAUGAAAUGCUCUACUGUGACUGAAGCAGCAAAGAGAAGAUGGGUGGCUUUGAAAUCAGAAUUGGAUGCAGAGGGAGUCCCAGAGGCCAACACUGUGAACAUAAGAAGGGAAAGACCAGUUCUGCAAGCACAGAUGUAAUUUUGAGAAGCAGAGCUACAGUUCUGCCGGAGGCCUCUCCAGAUUGUGAUGCACUGGGAGCAAGCCACCAUGAACAUAUCCUCAGGUCUCCAGUCUUCUGCCAUCGCAUGAAAAAUGGAGCUUGUCAAACACAGAGCAGAGCUGAACUUUCUGAAUUCCACAGGACAGUUCAGAGUGCUUGGAAUGACACCCACCUGCAAUUUAAACAAAAAA
ensembl:lncRNA novel transcript